rnacentral:rRNA from 1 species
AGUCAGAGCCCGUUAAUGGGUGAUGGCGUGCCUUUUGUAGAAUGAACCGGCGAGUUACGAUUUGAUGCAAGGUUAAGCAGUAAAUGUGGAGCCGUAGCGAAAGCGAGUCUGAAUAGGGCGUUUAGUAUUUGGUCGUAGACCCGAAACCAGGUGAUCUACCCUUGGUCAGGUUGAAGUUCAGGUAACACUGAAUGGAGGACCGAACCGACUUACGUUGAAAAGUGAGCGGAUGAACUGAGGGUAGCGGAGAAAUUCCAAUCGAACCUGGAGAUAGCUGGUUCUCUCCGAAAUAGCUUUAGGGCUAGCCUCAAGUGAUGAUUAUUGGAGGUAGAGCACUGUUUGGACGAGGGGCCCCUCUCGGGUUACCGAAUUCAGACAAACUCCGAAUGCCAAUUAAUUUAACUUGGGAGUCAGAACAUGGGUGAUAAGGUCCGUGUUCGAAAGGGAAACAGCCCAGACCACCAGCUAAGGUCCCAAAAUAUAUGUUAAGUGGAAAAGGAUGUGGCGUUGCCCAGACAACUAGGAUGUUGGCUUAGAAGCAGCCAUCAUUUAAAGAGUGCGUAAUAGCUCACUAGUCGAGUGACACUGCGCCGAAAAUGUACCGGGGCUAAACAUAUUACCGAAGCUGUGGAUUGUCCUUUGGACAAUGGUAGGAGAGCGUUCUAAGGGCGUUGAAGCAUGAUCGUAAGGACAUGUGGAGCGCUUAGAAGUGAGAAUGCCGGUGUGAGUAGCGAAAGACGGGUGAGAAUCCCGUCCACCGAUUGACUAAGGUUUCCAGAGGAAGGCUCGUCCGCUCUGGGUUAGUCGGGUCCUAAGCUGAGGCCGACAGGCGUAGGCGAUGGAUAACAGGUUGAUAUUCCUGUACCACCUAUAAUCGUUUUAAUCGA